rnacentral:rRNA from 1 species
AUGAUCUUUAUGAGAGAAAAAACUACAAAAUGGAAAUCUGUAAGUUCAACUACAUAUAUUACAACAAUUGAAAAUACAAAAAAUUACAUCAGUUCAAUGACAGAAAAACAUGAGUUCGAAAAGUUUUUGACUCUUGAACUGAUAGCUGAAAGAUACGAUAUGUGUACUGUUGAUAAUCUCAAACAUGUGUUACUCAACUUUAGAAAACAUGUAAAAUUGUUGUGCUGCUUUGCAAUGUCUCCAGUAGUCCUACUUCUCCAUGACGACAAGGACGACGUCGCCAUGCGUGCAUGCUCCAACCUGUCCCCUGUCGCAGCCCCACCACUCGAUGCCGAUGCACUCCAACCCGAGGACCACCAUGAUGGAGGUCGCCUCACAGCAUAG